GACGAACGCUGGCGGCGUGCUUAACACAUGCAAGUCGAGCGGUAAGGCUCCUUCGGGAGUACACGAGCGGCGAACGGGUGAGUAACACGUGAGCAACCUGCCCUUCUCAUCGGAAUAAGCGUUGGAAACGACGUCUAAUGCCGAAUAUGACAACGGAUCGCAUGAUCUGUUGUGGAAAGCUCCGGCGGAGAAGGAUGGGCUCGCGGCCUAUCAGCUUGUUGGUGGGGUAACGGCCCACCAAGGCGACGACGGGUAGCCGGCCUGAGAGGGUGCCCGGCCACACGGGGACUGCGACACGGCCCAGACUCCUACGGGAGGCAGCAGUGGGGAAUAUUGGACAAUGGGCGCAAGCCUGAUCCAGCAACGCCGCGUGAGGGAUGACGGCCUUCGGGUUGUAAACCUCUUUCAGCAGGGACGAAGCGAAAGUGACGGUACCUGCAGAAGAAGGACCGACCAACUACGUGCCAGCCGCCGCGGUAAAAC
rnacentral:rRNA from 1 species